rnacentral:rRNA from 1 species
UACAGAGGGUGCAAGCGUUAAUCGGAAUUACUGGGCGUAAAGCGCACGUAGGUGGCUUGAUAAGUUGGGUGUGAAAUCCCCGGGCUUAACCUGGGAAUUGCAUUCAAGACUGUCUUGCUAGAGUGUGGAAGAGGGAAGCGGAAUUCCAGGUGUAGCGGUGAAAUGCUUAGAUAUGACAUAGAACAUCGAUUGCGAAGGCAGCUCGCUACGCUAUUAUUGACACUGAGGCACGAAAGCGUGGGGAUCAAACAGG